CAAUAGCGUAUAUUAAAGUUGUUGCAGUUAAAAAGCUCGUAGUUGGAUUUCUGGCAGGAGCGUCCGGUCUCACACUCAGUGCGGGAACUUGGAUGUCUCUGGCCAUCUUUGGGGAUAUCCUGUUUGGCAUUAAGUUGUCGGGCAGGGGAUACCCAUCGUUUACUGUGAAAAAAUUAGAGUGUUUAAAGCAGGCUUAUGCCGUUGAAUAUAUUAGCAUGGAAUAAUAAGAUAGGACGUAGGUACUAUUUUGUUGGUUUGCGCACCCACGUAAUGAUUAAUAGAGACAGGCGGGGCUAUUCGUAUUGCAUUGUCAGAGGUGAAAUUCUUGGAUUUCUGCAAGACGAACUACUGCGAAAGCAUUUAGCAAGGAUGUUUUCAUUA
rnacentral:rRNA from 1 species